rnacentral:rRNA from 1 species
AGUGAACGCUGGCGGUAGGCCUAACACAUGCAAGUCGAACGGCAGCACAGUAAGAGCUUGCUCUUACGGGUGGCGAGUGGCGGACGGGUGAGGAAUACAUCGGAAUCUACUUUUUCGUGGGGCUUAACGAAGGGAAAUUUACGCCAAUACCGCAUCCGCCCUAGGGGGGGAAGAGGGGGAUCUUCGGCCCUGGCGGGGUUGAACGAGCGGAUUCUGGUUUGGAUAGUUGGCGGGUUAAAGGCCCACCAAGUCGAGGAUCCGUAGCUGGUCUGAGAGGAUGAUCGGCCACACUGGAACUGAGACACGGUCCAGACUCCUACGGGAGGCAGCAGUGGGGAAUAUGGGACAGUGGGCGCAAGCCUGAUCCAGCCAUACCGCGUGGGUGAAGAAGGCCUUCGGGUUGUAAAGCCCUUUUGUUGGGAAAGAAAAGCAGCAGGUUAAUACCCCGCUGUUCUGACGGUACCCAAAGAAUAAGCACCGGCUAACUUCGUG